rnacentral:rRNA from 1 species
UGUUUCGGCUAGGGGGCCAUCCCGGCUUACCAACCCGAUGCAAACUGCGAAUACCGGAGAAUGUUAUCACGGGAGACACACGGCGGGUGCUAACGUCCGUCGUGAAGAGGGAAACAACCCAGACCGCCAGCUAAGGUCCCAAAGUCAUGGUUAAGUGGGAAACGAUGUGGGAAGGCCCAGACAGCCAGGAUGUUGGCUUAGAAGCAGCCAUCAUUUAAAGAAAGCGUAAUAGCUCACUGGUCGAGUCGGCCUGCGCGGAAGAUGUAACGGGGCUAAACCAUGCACCGAAGCUGCGGCAGCGAACGUAUCACUUAAAGCGAUUCAGCGGGUUACGAUU